GGGUGGUGGGACAGGUUGCUGCAGUACCUCACUGAGGUCUCAGCUAUAUUCAAGAUCUCAUUACACACUGCCUCCUAGUAGUAGUAGUAGUAGUAGUAGUAGUAGUUAGGAGUAGUAGU